GGCCCGGUAGGCAAACUGGCAAAGCCGCGGCACUCAAAAUGCCGUGUUUGUGGGUUCGACUCCCACCCGGGCUA
rnacentral:tRNA from 1 species